GAUGAACGCUGGCGGCGUGCCUAAUACAUGCAAGUCGAGCGAACGGACGAGAAGCUUGCUUCUCUGAUGUUAGCGGCGGACGGGUGAGUAACACGUGGAUAACCUACCUAUAAGACUGGGAUAACUUCGGGAAACCGGAGCUAAUACCGGAUAAUAUUUUGAACCGCAUGGUUCAAAAGUAAAAGACGGUCUUGCUGUCACUUAUAGAUGGAUCCGCGCUGCAUUAGCUAGUUGGUAAGGUAACGGCUUACCAAGGCAACGAUGCAUAGCCGACCUGAGAGGGUGUUCGGCCACACUGGAACUGAGACACGGUCCAGACUACUACGGGAGGCAGCAGUAGGGAAUCUUCCGCAAAGGGCGAAAGCCUGACGGAGCAACGCCGCGUGAGUGAUGAAGGUCUUCGGAUCGUAAAACUCUGUUAUUAGGGAAGAACAUAUGUGUAAGUAACUGUGCACAUCUUGACGGUACCUAAUCAGAAAGCCACGGCUAACUACGUG
rnacentral:rRNA from 1 species